rnacentral:rRNA from 1 species
UACGUAGGGUGCAAGCGUUAAUCGGAAUUACUGGGCGUAAAGCGUGCGCAGGCGGUUAUGUAAGACAGAUGUGAAAUGCCCGGGCUCAACCUGGGAACUGCAUUUGUGACUGCAUGGCUAGAGUUUGGCAGAGGGGGGGUAGAAUUCCACGUGUAGCAGUGAAAUGCGUAGAUAUGUGGAGGAAUACCGAUGGCGAAGGCAGCCCCCUGGGUCAAGACUGACGCUCAUGCACGAAAGCGUGGGGAGC